ensembl:lncRNA PCBP1-AS1 PCBP1 antisense RNA 1
AAAAUGGCGACACGUGGUUAGCAUUCGUCGCCAACGAGAAAUUGGGGUCGGCCCGAAAGCUCUAGAAUGCACCCCUCUUCCUCCCCGGGGCCUUCCACCUCCGCGAGUUUUAUGACUUAAAAAAGCCCACAGGCUGGUCUGAAGAGGAAGACAAACAUAAAGAUGAAGUGCUUAAUUCAAGGUCACACAAUGUCGGGGAUGGACCUCCAGAUUUCCUUACUGACCUGCAUUAUCUUGUGGAUACCUGAGUGAAUUCCACACCACCCAUUUUAUAGAUGAAACCACUGAGACAUGGAGCAAUUGACUGAGUAGUCACUGCCCCACCCCUGCCUGGAGCCUCACACAUGACUCGCCUCCUCUCAGUGACCACAGGUUGGUUGAGGGGUUUAACAAGGCUAAGAAGAGACGGAGUCUUGCUAUGUUGCCCAGGCUGGUCUUGAACUCCUCACCUCAAGCGAUCCUCCCGUCUUGGCCUCCCAAGUGUCAGGAUUACGGGCAUGUGCUAUCACACCCAACCUGAUACAUUGCCUUUAUAAAUUUUUUUUUCUUUAUUCUAAAAACCAGAAAAAACAAAACUGGAUACAUGUGCAGAACAUGCAGGGAAUUUCUUCCACUUGCAGACCAAGUGUGUUGGGGACUUGAGAUGCGUACAUGAGUGUGAUGUUUCCUGCUGAAAGCACAGGUGAGACGUGGUCUUGUAACACAGUGGUUAAGAAUGUGACUUUGGAGCCAGCCUGCUAGGGGCUGAAUUCUGACUCAGCCAUUUACUAACUGUGUGACCUUAGGGAGGAGGACCUGGUUGAUAGAAGAAUUUAUCUCGUAGUCUUAACAUCCACUGUAAUUCCAAACUUUGAGGACGAUAGAGAUCAGUGGGCUUUGACUGCCCAGCAUGCAGUCUCCAUUCUUAGGUGGGUUCCCAAGCCUGUAAAAUGUAAGCCUUAUGCUGCUGAGGGCCAUCUUGCCACCCUGAGGGAAACGCUGCCUGAGAAUGAAACAAGCAUAAGUAAAAGCUGAGCUGUGAGAUGGAGCAAGAUGAAGGCCACAUGACAUCUUUGGAGCACCUGGAUCUAACUGUGCCUUAAGCUAGUCUAACCCUGAACAUUUCAUCAUUUCAUUGACAUGAGCCCAGGUUUUCUUUUUUUUUGGAUGGAGUCUUGCUCUGUCGCCCAGGCUGGAGUGCAGUAGCUCAAUCUCGGCUCACUGCAAGCUCCACCUCCCGGGUUCACGCCAUUCUCCUGCCUUAGCCUCCCAAGUAGCUGGGACAACAGGCGCCCACCACCACUCCCAGCUAAUUUUUUGUAUUUUUAGUAGAGACGGGGUUUUACCAUGUUAGCCGGGAUGGUCUUGAUCUCCUGACCUCAUGAUCCGCCCGCCUCGGCCUCCCAAAGUGCUGGGAUUACAGGUGUGAGCCACUGCACCCAGCCCUCAGGUUUUCCCUUUUUUUACCCCUCCUUUUGAAAAUUUGAUGUGGAAUUUUGCCACCUGCAGCCAGAAGAGUUUUAACUAAUCAGUGCCAUAAAUUUUAUAUAGUUCUCCUUGCAAAAUGUGGAUCAGCCUUUCUCAGCAAAUCCUUUGUCAUAAAGUGCUGAAUUGUAAGUUUGUCAUGAGAAUCACAUGAGAUCAUGCAUGUGAAGAACCUGGCAUUAUCCUCCUCAUAGAAAAAAACCAGUAAAUAUUAACUACAGGAAGCAAGGAAGGAGUGGGGUGAGGGGAAGAAGAAGGGGUACUGAUUUAAAAGAACCCUGGAGUCCUAAGGAUAAUCUAGGAACCCUCAGACCCAAUCCGAUACCCCUAUUCUAAAUGCUCCUAGUGCCCUGUACCUUCCCCUCAUAAGCCUUCAUUAUCAUUGUAAUGAUAUGUUUAUGUAAUAUUUUGAUUAAUGUCUCUCCUUCACUGACCUAGCAGUUCUAGCAGGGCAGUGAUUUUGCUGUGUUGCAUCCCCAGCACCUAGUCUGGUAUGUGGCAUUCAGCAUAUGUUUAUUGAAUGAAUGGCCAUGUGGUUAUUCAGAUCCUCCUUGAUUAUUGGGGUUAGGAUUGUGGCAGAAGUGGCAAAAUCAGGGAGAGUAGUCCCUGUCCCCUCUGUAUCUUAUACACUGCCCACACUCCCAACACACAUACACAUACAGAGAAUUUUGUCUCAAUUAGAUAAUUAACUUCUGCUUGGUUGUAAACCAAACCACUGGUUCUUAAACUUUCAUUGGAUCAUUUUAUUGAAGAAUUAAAUAGUGUGGUUCUGGCCUAAUGUCUGGAAAGCCUUGCAGAGGAGUGGAUUAGGUCUUUGUGAUAAACAGGCAGCCUUCCCUGCUCCUGUGUCUUUAUAAAAUCUAUUUAACUGGAGUAGUCCACCCUCCCUCAGGCUCUUACAGGAAUAUGUUGGAGGCUGUAGGAAGGUGGGAAACCGAGAGGGAAAGGACUGGGCCGCUGGAGACUUCACUCAUUCCCUAGCAAGAAACAAAAGCAGUAAAAGGUGGCCCGAGGACAACCUGAAGCUCACUCCUUCAGCACUUUUGGCUGGAGGUCACUUGUUGGAGCCCCACUCAGAGCUCAGCACACCACCCCACCAGCAGCCUCCUCCUCCCAGCUGAGGCUGCAUUUCAUCCCUUCCCCCAGCCUGCUUUCCCUGAGAUAGGGGAGUGUUUCCCAGGGCCCAUGUGACUUCCACUGGCAAGUGACGAUUACCAAUGGUUUACUAGUCAGUGAAACUACCAAAGGCUUUUGUGCUGUAGUAAUCCUUUUCCUGUUUAAAACUCUGGGGAUUUUCUAAUGUUGCCAAUAGUUUUUCAAGUCAGCAAUUACUGUGUGGAUUAUGUAAUGGCUCGGUAUUA